CCGCCCGUCACACCAUGGAAGUGUAUUGCACCAGAAGCAGGUAGCCUGACCGCAAGGAGGGCGCCUACCACGGUGAGGUCCAUGACUGGGGUG
rnacentral:rRNA from 1 species